rnacentral:lncRNA from 1 species
GAUGCAUCUAUAGAUAUUUCUAUAUGAUCUGAAAAUUGACUAUUUAGAUAAGCAAAUUGAUAAUGAUUUUCUUCAAAAUAAGAAACUCACAUAUAUGCUAUAUGUUCAUUGACUUUAAUCUUUUAUGAAAUAUUAUGCCUAGUUUCAGAGACUUUGUGAAUUCAAAAUUAAUGAUAUUAUUAUUGUUGACGAUGAUUUUUAUUUUUGAUAUCAUUUAAUUUUUAUUUCUAUUUUAUUUUUUUAUGUGUGAAUAAUUUUGAUACCAAAAAAAAUUACUUGAUGAUAUCGAGUUAUGUAUUUCUAUAUCAUAU